AUAGCGUAUAUUAAAGUUGUUGCAGUUAAAAAGCUCGUAGUUGAACUUCAGGCCUGGCUGGGCGGUCCGCCUCACGGCGUGUACUGUCUGGCUGGGGCUUACCUCUUGGUGAGCCGGCGUGCCCUUUAUUGGUGUGCGUCGGGGAACCAGGACUUUUACCUUGAGAAAAUUAGAGUGUUCAAAGCAGGCCUGUGCCCGAAUACAUUAGCAUGGAAUAAUAAAAUAGGACGUGCGGUUCUAUUUUGUUGGUUUCUAGAGUCGCCGUAAUGAUUAAUAGGGAUAGUUGGGGGCAUUGGUAUUGAGUCGCUAGAGGUGAAAUUCUUGGAUUGACUCAAGACCGACUAUUG
rnacentral:rRNA from 1 species